AGCGAACGCUGGCGGCAGGCCUAACACAUGCAAGUCGAACGAACCUUUCGGGGUUAGUGGCGGACGGGUGAGUAACACGUGGGAACGUGCCUUUAGGUUCGGAAUAACUCAGGGAAACUUGUGCUAAUACCGAAUGUGCCCUUCGGGGGAAAGAUUAAUCGCCUUUAGAGCGGCCCGCGUCUGAUUAGCUAGUUGGUUGAGGUAAUGGCUCACCAAGGCGACGAUCAGUAGCUGGUCUGAGAGGAUGAUCAGCCACAUUGGGACUGAGACACGGCCCAAACUCCGACGGGAGGCAGCAGUGGGGAAUCUUGCGCAAUGGGCGAAAGCCGGACGCAGCCAUGCCGCGGGAAUGAUGAAGGUCUUAGGAUUGUAAAAUUCUUUCACCGGGGACGAUAAUGACGGUACCCGGAGAAGAAGCCCCGGCUAACUUCGU
rnacentral:rRNA from 1 species